GACGAACGCUGGCGGCGUGCUUAACACAUGCAAGUCGAACGAGAGCGUAGAGAAAGCUUGCUUUUUCUACAAUCUAGUGGCAAACGGGUGAGUAACGCGUAAACAACCUGCCCUACGGAUGGGGACAACAGCUGGAAACGGCUGCUAAUACCGAAUACGUUCCGAAAGUCGCAUGACUAUCGGAAGAAAGGAUGGCCUCUAUUUAUAAGCUAUCGCCGGAGGAGGGGUUUGCGUCUGAUUAGCUAGUUGGAGGGGUAACGGCCCACCAAGGCGACGAUCAGGAGCCGGUCUGAGAGGAUGAACGGCCACAUUGGAACUGAGACACGGUCCAGACUCCUACGGGAGGCAGCAGUGGGGAAUCUUCCGCAAUGGGCGAAAGCCUGACGGAGCAACGCCGCGUGAGUGAAGACGGCCUUCGGGUUGUAAAGCUCUGUUAUACGGGACGAAUAAUCUUGUGGUUAAUACCCAUGAGAAGUGACGGUACCGUAAGAGAAAGCCACGGCUAACUACGUG
rnacentral:rRNA from 1 species